AACAUACAAUUAUCAUUAAUCAAUCAAACGCUAAUUACCAACCAGAAAGAAGCAUCGAAAAGUUAAAAGAAGCAUUAACAAUUGCUCUACCAACAGUAUCACUGGAUCACUUUUUAUAAUUAGAAAAUUUAUUAAUGGAUUCUCCAGAACAAAGAAGCAUUGAUGGCUUUGUUCCGUGUACUUAUUACUAAACAAUCCAAUUUGAAAGAAAGCAUUGCCAAAGUAAUGAGUUCAAUAAUGACGAAGGCAGUAGAAUUAAAAUAUUCGGGAACAGGAAAAAUAAUUAAUGGACAGUCCAAAAGAGAGAAACUUUAGCAGUACUAAUUCGUACAUAUGUUUAAGAGAUAUUUUAAUAGAAAAAUUUGGAAAUAGUGUGGAUUUAAAGAAGUUGCCAGGUCAGGUGGGAUUAUGGUUAUCACGAGCUAGAGACUGUGAAGGAGGCAGAAAAGAACGAAACAAAAAUAAUUAAAAAUAAAACCUUAAAAUUUAUUUAAAAUAUUAAGUCAAAAUUAAAGUUUAAAAUUUGUUACCACUUUUCCAUUUAAUAUAUCUUUGAUAUGUAUAUACGUACAAAUACAUUAUUUCUUUAUACAAAAUUAUUUUUAAUAUAAAAAUUAUUAAGUUCGGUUACAUUUAAA